GAGAUAGAUAGUUCUGGGGAGUUGCACCCGGAGUAAUUUCUUCAGCUUCUUUUUAGCGUUUUAUAUUUACCCCGAGUCACAGCUCCCUGGACCGAUCUAUCUCA
rnacentral:pre_miRNA from 1 species